rnacentral:rRNA from 1 species
GAGUUUGAUCCUGGCUCAGGACGAACGCUGGCGGCGGGCUUAACACAUGCAAGUCGAACGUGAAGCCCGGGGCUUGCUCCGGGUGGAAAGUGGCGAACGGGUGCGUAACGCGUAGGCAACCUGCCCUCGAGUGGGGAAUAACCAUCGGAAACGGUGGCUAAUACCGCAUGACGUCUUUUUUCUGCAUGGAAGGGAGAUUAAAGCCUUCGGGUGCUUGAGGAUGGGCCUGCGUCGGAUUAGUUAGUUGGUGAGGUAACGGCUCACCAAGGCGACGAUCCGUAGCUGGUCUGAGAGGAUGAUCAGCCACACUGGCACUGAGACACGGGCCAGACUCCUACGGGAGGCAGCAGUGAGGAAUAUUGCGCAAUGGGCGAAAGCCUGACGCAGCCACGCCGCGUGGAGGAAGACACCCCUAUGGGGCGUAAACUCCUUUUAUACGAGAAGAAACCCCCUACAUGUAGGGGCCUGACGGUAUCGUAUGAAUAAGCACCGGCUAACUCCGUGCCAGCAGCCGCGGUAAUACGGAGGGUGCAAGCGUUGUCCGGAAUCACUGGGUGUAAAGGGUGUGUAGGCGGGAUAGCAAGUCAGAGGUGAAAUCCUGCAGCUUAACUGUAGAACUGCCUCUGAUACUGUUAUUCUUGAGUAUCGGGAGAGGUCGCUGGAAUUCGUGGUGUAGCGGUGAAAUGCGUAGAUAUCACGAGGAACACCAGAGGCGUAGGCGGGCGACUGGACGAUUACUGACCGCCUGAGGCCACGAAAGCGUGGGGGAGCAAACAGAUUUAGAUAACCCCUGGGUAGUCCCACCGCCCGUAAAACGAUGGGAUUGCCUCCG